AUUUUGAUCUUGAAGAAAGUGUUUUAUACCUACACACUACAAAGGUCAAGCCAGAGAACAGAAUAAAUAAAAUAAAGCAGGCCCAAGACGACGCUAAAUGGAGUGCCCGGCGUUUUGAUUUCCACCCAUUGCCUUGGUUUUUUGGCAUGAAGUGCGAAGUAACUUGGAUGCACUCAUGCGCAGGGAGGGCCCCGAGAAUGAAAAUGGGGAAUAGGAAUGGGAAUGGUGCAACCUUGGAAGAACCCAGCGCUCUAUGAUCAUGAUCACGGCCUCUGUCCAUCAUUUUACUGCGGCUUACCGGCGCCAGGACGCCCUGAUAGGUCUCCUACGCUUGCCGCGCAUGACCCGUUGGGCGCGCAGAGGAGGAGG